rnacentral:rRNA from 1 species
AGCGUGGAGACAGGUGGUGCAUGGCUGUCGUCAGCUUGUGUCGUGAGAUGUUGGGUUAAGUCCCGCAACGAGCGCAACCCUCACCCCUAGUUGCGACCGGGUUAUGCCGAGCACUCGAGGGGAACUGCCAGCGUCAAGCUGGAGGAAGGCGGGGAUGACGUCAAGUCAUCAUGCCCCUUACGCCCUGGGCUACACACGUGCUACAAUGGCCAGUACAAAGGGACGCGAGACUGCGAAGUGGAGCUAGUCCCAAAAAGCUGGUCUAAGUUCAGAUUGCAGUCUGCAACUCGACUGCAUGAAGGAGGAAUCGCUAGUAAUCGCGUAUCAGCCCGGCGCGGUGAAUACGUUCCCGGGCCUUGUACACACCGCCCGUCACACCACGAAAGCUGUCUGUACUCGAAGUCGCUGAG